AACGAACGCUGGCGGCAGGCUUAACACAUGCAAGUCGAACGCAUCCUUCGGGGUGAGUGGCAGACGGGUGAGUAACGCGUGGGAACGUGCCCUUCAGUUCGGGAUAACCCAGGGAAACUUGGGCUAAUACCGGAUACGUGCGAGAGCAGAAAGAUUGUAUCGCUGAAGGAUCGGCCCGCGUCUGAUUAGCUAGUUGGGGGGGUAAUGGCCCACCAAGGCGACGAUCAGUAGCUGGUCUGAGAGGAUGAUCAGCCACAUUGGGACUGAGACACGGCCCAAACUCCUACGGGAGGCAGCAGUGGGGAAUAUUGGACAAUGGGCGCAAGCCUGAUCCAGCCAUGCCGCGUGAGUGAUGAAGGCCUUAGGGUUGUAAAGCUCUUUCGCCCGGGACGAUAAUGACGGUACCGGAAGAAGAAGCCCCGGCUAACUUCGUGCCAGCAGCCUCCGUAA
rnacentral:rRNA from 1 species